UACGAGAGGCCCAAACGUUAUUCGGAAUUACUGGGCUUAAAGAGUUCGUAGGCGGCAUUGCAAGUAGGGUGUGAAAGCCCGGGGCUCAACUCCGGAAUUGCCUUUAAGACUGCAUCGCUAGAAUUGUGGAGAGGUAAGUGGAAUUCCGAGUGUAGAAGUGAAAUUCGUAGAUAUUCGGAAGAACACCAGUGGCGAAGGCGACUUACUGGACACAUAUUGACGCUGAGGUGCGAAAGCGUGGGGAGCAAACAGG
rnacentral:rRNA from 1 species